GAUGAACGCUGGCGGCGUGCCUAAUACAUGCAAGUCGAGCGAACAGACGAGGAGCUUGCUCCUCUGACGUUAGCGGCGGACGGGUGAGUAACACGUGGAUAACCUACCUAUAAGACUGGGAUAACUUCGGGAAACCGGAGCUAAUACCGGAUAACAUGUUGAACCGCAUGGUUCAACAGUGAAAGACGGUCUUGCUGUCACUUAUAGAUGGAUCCGCGCCGCAUUAGCUAGUUGGUAAGGUAACGGCUUACCAAGGCAACGAUGCGUAGCCGACCUGAGAGGGUGAUCGGCCACACUGGAACUGAGACACGGUCCAGACUCCUACGGGGGGCAGCAGUAGGGAAUCUUCCGCAAUGGGCGAAAGCCUGACGGAGCAACGCCGCGUGAGUGAUGAAGGUCUUCGGAUCGUAAAACUCUGUUAUUAGGGAAGAACAAAUGUGUAAGUAACUAUGCACGUCUUGACGGUACCUAAUCAGAAAGCCACGGCUAACUACGUG
rnacentral:rRNA from 1 species